CUCCACCCCGGGAGGCUGGUGACCUAUCAUCUCAGCUUUGCCCUUCUGUAAGUAUUGAUGCCAGCAGAACUAUAAACAUACAUAUCUACCAUCAAAUGCAUGUUGGGGGUCAGGCACUGUUCUAAGUACUUGACAUAAAUUAAUUCAUUUCAUUCCCACCUAUUUGAAGUAGGUACAAUCGUUAUUCCCGUUUUACAGAUUGGGAAACUGAGGCACAGAAGGGGAGAAGGUCCUUGUGCCAGGUCAUAGGUCUUCUCGGUGCCAGAGCCAAGGUUGGAGGCAGCCUGGCUCUGCAGUGGUCAUCUCGCUGCGGGACAACUGAAGAGUUGGAGAACCUCCUCAGGCCUGGGCUCCACCCUGCUGCCCACCUGUGGCUCUAUGCCCUUAGGCAGGUGGCUUCACUGUUCACUGGCCUCUCAUCUGUAAAAUGGGCACAGUGGCUCCUAUGCAGCAGGCUGCGAGGCUUUGAGAUGCUGCAUAGAAAGCUCCUGAUGCGGGGUAGUUGCUCACUCAUGACCUGGCAUAGUAGAUCCUCAACAAAUAUCUGAGGAACGAACAGAAACAUAAGUGAACGGACUUCUCAGAUCUCUUCCAGCUCUGUCAGUGUUUUAAGAUGCUAUGGAAGAUACUGAAAUAACUGAGGCAAUGCAGUGGGGCUUCCUAAUGGAGGGAUCAGGCUGGCAAUACCAGAACGCACCAAGCCUUCUUAGUAUCACCCAGAAAGCGUUCUUAGUAUGCUCCAGAUGUGAUCCCAUAGGAAGGACACAGCACUUCCCAGGAAGUCCGCUUGCUAGAAUGAUUGACCCUACAUCACCUCAACCCUCUGGACCUAAACACCAGUCUACAGGAAGCAGGAGGACAGUGCAACAUGUUAAAUGACACCACGAGGGUUCGGUCUGCCACAUCAACAAUGAGGACAGUCUCACAUGACGAAGGGCCUGGUUUCCUCAACAAGUAAAAGGGCAUAAAAAGGAAGAGAGUAAAGACUGUUAGAGAGGAAAAUAGAUUUAAGGGAUAAAGUACCAAAAUGCAAUGUAUGGGUCGGGUGCCAUGGCUCACGCCUGUAAUCCCAGCACUUUGGGAGGCCAAGGUGGGCG
rnacentral:lncRNA from 10 species